AUUGAACGCUGGCGGCAGGCCUAACACAUGCAAGUCGAGCGGAAGCGCGGAGCUAGCCCCUGGAUUCAGCGGCGGACGGGUGAGUAAUGCGUAGGAAUCUGCCUGGUAGUGGGGGAUAACGUCCGGAAACGGGCGCUAAUACCGCAUACGUCCUGCGGGAGAAAGUGGGGGAUCGUCGGACCUCACGCCAACAGAUGAGCCUAGGUCGGAUUAGCUAGUUGGUGGGGUAAAGGCCUACCAAGGCGACGAUCCGUAACUGGUCUGAGAGGAUGAUCAGUCACACUGGAACUGAGACAAGGUCCAGACUCCUACGGGAGGCAGCAGUGGGGAAUAUUGGACAAUGGGCGAAAGCCUGAUCCAGCCAUGCCGCGUGUGUGAAGAAGGUCUUCGGAUUGUAAAGCACUUUGAGUGGGGAAGAAAGGCAGUAAGCUAAUACCUUGCGGUUUUGACGUUACCAACAGAAUAAGCACCGGCUAACUUCGUG
rnacentral:rRNA from 1 species